AUACGUAGGGGGCGAGCGUUGUCCGGAAUGAUUGGGCGUAAAGGGCGCGUAGGCGGCCCGGUAAGUCUGGAGUGAAAGUCCUGUUUUUAAGAUGGGAAUUGCUUUGGAUACUGUCGGGCUUGAGUGCAGGAGAGGUAAGUGGAAUUCCCAGUGUAGCGGUGAAAUGCGUAGAGAUUGGGAGGAACACCAGUGGCGAAGGCGACUUACUGGACUGUAACUGACGCUGAGGCGCGAAAGUGUGGGGAGCAAACAGGAUUAGAUACCCUGGUAGUACACACUGUAAACGAUGAAUGCUAGGUGUAGGGGGUAUCGACCCCUUCUGUGCCGCAGUCAACACAAUAAGCAUUCCGCCUGGGGAGUACGGCCGCAAGGUUGAAACUCAAAGGAAUUGACGGGG
rnacentral:rRNA from 1 species